AUUGAACGCUGGCGGCAGGCCUAACACAUGCAAGUCGAACGAGUGGCGGACGGGUGAGUAAUGUCUGGGAAACUGCCUGAUGGAGGGGGAUAACUACUGGAAACGGUAGCUAAUACCGCAUACCAUCAGAUGUGCCCAGAUGGGAUUAGCUAGUUGGUGGGGUAACGGCUCACCAAGGGGACGAUCCCUAGCUGGUCUGAGAGGAUGACCAGCCACACUGGAACUGAAGCACAGUCCAGACGCCUACGGGAGACAGCAGUGGAGAAUAUUGCAAAAUGGGCGCAGGCCUGAUGCGGCCAUGCCGCGUGUAUGAAGAAGGCCUUCGGGUUGUGAAGUACUUUCAGCGGGGAGGCGUUACCCGCAGAAGAAGCACCGGCUAACUCCGUGCCAGCAGCCGCGGUAAUUC
rnacentral:rRNA from 1 species